rnacentral:rRNA from 1 species
GUGUCAGCCGCCGCGGUAAUACGAAGGGUGCAAGCGUUGUUCGGAAUUAUUGGGCGUAAAGCGCACGUAGGCGGCCUUGUAAGUCUCACUGUGAAAGUCCGGGGCUCAACCCCGGGAUGCCAGGGGAUACUGCGAGGCUGGAGACAAGCAGAGGUUGGUAGAAUUCCGGGUGUAGCGGUGGAAUGCGUAGAGAUCCGGAGGAAUACCAGAGGCGAAGGCGGCCAACUGGGCUUGUUCUGACGCUGAGGUGCGAAAGCGUGGGGAGCGAACAGGAUUAGAUACCCUGGUAGUCC